GUCUACGGCCAUACCACCCUGAAUGCACCCUAUCUAGUCUGAUCUUAGAAGCUAAGCAGGGUUGGACCUGUUUAGUACUUGGAUGGGAGAGAGACACGCACAUAAGGCG
rnacentral:rRNA from 1 species